CGGUCCAAACUCCUACGGGAGGCAGCAGUGGGGAAUAUUGCACAAUGGGCGCAAGCCUGAUGCAGCGACGCCGCGUGAGGGAUGACGGCCUUCGGGUUGUAAACCUCUUUCAGUAGGGAAGAAGCGAAAGUGACGGUACCUGCAGAAAAAGCGCCGGCUAACUACGUGCCAGCAGCCGCGGUAAUACGUAGGGCGCAAGCGUUGUCCGGAAUUAUUGGGCGUAAAGAGCUCGUAGGCGGUUUGUCGCGUCUGCUGUGAAAACCCGAGGCUCAACCUCGGGCGUGCGGUGGGUACGGGCAGGCUAGAGUGUGGUAGGGGAGACUGGAACUCCUGGUGUAGCGGUGGAAUGCGCAGAUAUCAGGAA
rnacentral:rRNA from 14 species